AGAGUGAACGCUGGCGGUAGGCCUAACACAUGCAAGUCGAACGGCAGCACAGUGGUAGCAAUACCAUGGGUGGCGAGUGGCGGACGGGUGAGGAAUACAUCGGAAUCUACCUUUUCGUGGGGGAUAACGUAGGGAAACUUACGCUAAUACCGCAUACGCCCUUUGGGGGAAAGCCGGGGAUCGCAAGACCUGGCGCGGAUAGAUGAGCCGAUGUCGGAUUAGCUAGUUGGUGAGGUAAUGGCUCACCAAGGCGACGAUCCGUAGCUGGUCUGAGAGGAUGAUCAGCCACACUGGAACUGAGACACGGUCCAGACUCCUACGGGAGCAGCAGGUGGGAAUAGUUGGAACAAGUGGGC
rnacentral:rRNA from 1 species